AAUCCUUUUUCAAUAGAUUUUGCCCAGACCCCUGCAGUGUCAAGUGAAGGAAGCUCCUCUCAUGAGAAUGCAAAGAGAAAUGAAGAAAGAAAUAGAAUGCUGAAGAUUAAUCCAUAAUUAAGAUCUCAGCUUAGUUCCUGGAAAUGCUUCAAGCAUGAAGAGCUUCAAGGAACUGAUUGACUCUGCUGUGAAAGAUGAUAAGUGAUGAGAAUGGGGCAGCAAUCUUGCAUCAAUUUGUCUCCUCCUUGAUUUGAUUCCACCACCCUGGAAAGACAUGGAAAGAUGUGCUCAUAUCAAGCUGAACAACACCUUGUUGUCUUCAAAAGGAGACCAGCGUACAAGAACACCUUGAUUGCAUUGAACCGACCACACAGCAUACCUGCUCGCUGCCGGUGGGGAUCAACUCAAAUACUACUAUACCUGCUCGCUGAUGGGACAAAGAGGGACUGCAUUCAUGGAUGCUACACAACUGUUGACAAGUAGAUUUUUGCAAUCUUGUUCAAAUCCACCUGUCAUAUUUGUUAAUGUAUAGGCAAACUGGGUGAUUUUAUGCUUUUUCCCUUUUCUCUUUUUUUUCUCUGCUAAACUCCUAAUGAAUGUGACAAUUUGACUUUUUCCAUAUAUGGCAUAUGUUUUAAAGGGGCCACUUUGCCAUUUGUUGAAUAAACUUUGGAUUUGUA